rnacentral:tRNA from 1 species
AGGAACUUAGGAUAAAGAGACCAAGAGCCUUCAAAGCCCUUAGCAGGAGUUAAAAUCUCCUAGUUUCUG